AAGUGUGUGUGUGUGUGUGUGUGUGUGUGUUGUGUGUGUGUGUGUGUGUGUGUGUGUGUGUAUCCUUUUUAAAGUCAGUUUAUAACCUUGCUGUAUGUGUGAGGCAGACAUUUCUUCCUGUAGACUACCUCCUUCCUGAAAAAGUCUGAGCUUUGUAUGGUUUGAAUAACCAUAGAAUUCUUAGCGUCCACAGGUCAGUAUUCAGGGGAGAUUCUGUACCUUCAGCUCACAUCUGGCAUCCACGCCCAGUCAUUUUGCCAGGGCAAAUGGUGCUGGGCAUCAGUAGACAGAGGCAGGGGAGAUGAGCAGGUUGUCAGGGGUUGAGACAUCUUCUGAGGCCUCUUGGCUUUUCUUCUGCUCUGGACCAUCUCUGCUCAGCUCAGUGACUGAAGGUGUAAGAGUCGGGGUUUCAGGGUCCUGGGAAGGCCUGGGUUUGGAGAGUCUGCUGGUUUCCUUGGUUUUCUGUGGCUCAGUGCGGUGCCCCACACCCCUGUGUAUACUUCCCUGGAUGCAUUUUCACCUGAUCUGUACUUUUCUCUUACUCAUGCUGAUUUUUUUAAAUACAAAAUUAAAAUGUCAGGUCUAACUUAAGUGAUCUUUUAAUGACUUCUCAUAAUAUUAUUGUGAUGUUACAGUCCUUGUAGUCUAUGUGUUUGAAUAAGGGUAGACAUUUCCACUGAUUAAAAAAAUAUGUAAUAUAUAAUUGAAUCUAAAAGCCCUCAGAAGGCCAUCAUUAAGCUUCAUUGAGUUAAAAUAUAAGUUUAUUUUCCCUUACAUUUUAACAGUUAAAAUAUAAGUGUAAUUUUUCCCUCUGUGGUUUUUGUUUUUGUUUUUGAGAUAGGAUCUUUCUAUGUCACCCAGGCUGUCUGUGAACUGAAUCCCAAAUGCUGGCAUUUACAAGUGUACACUACCAGGUCUGACUGUUUUUUCAAAUUUUGGUGGAGAAAGCAAGGCCAUGAACUUGGAUAGAGUACUGGAUUUUUCUUCUUAAACUGGAAAAUUCCUUUCAGAUUUGUAUUCUGUACUAGAGAUCAAAAAAGGCAGGAGUGGCUGGCAGGUAUACCAGAGGCUUGGCCUUCAUGGCGUAAUGCCAGCUGCUGAUGUUACCACAGUCUUUUGUUCACCUUGGCCUUGUGCUGGGUGAGGUCUAGUACUGUUUUACUGAGGCCUGUGAUUUUCACAUUCUGAAAGGCAGCUUUAUGUGGUAAUGUCUUAAGCACCAUUGAGACCCUCAAUAGAAUCGUAGAAGAACAGUUGGCAGUCUCCUGGAACACACACCUUGAUUAGGAAAAGGUUUUCUUUUGCGUUUAUUUUCUUUUUUGAUUUUGGAGACUGGGUCUUAGUCUUUAGUCUAGGCUGGCCUCAAACUCUUGGCAACCUUCCCGCCUUGGUACCCCAAGUCCUGGCAUUAUGACUGUAAGCUGCUGUUCGGCACAGUAGACGUUUUUCAACACAGAAAUUUCUCCCCAGAAUUCACUCUGUUAACAUGACAGUCACACUGUGACAUACACAGUGAAGGGUUAGCAUAAGAAAUAAAUGCUGCAUAGCAUCCAGGCCCGCUGAGUCCUUCCCGCGCCCCGGCAGAUGACUCGAGAAUCAAGCACUGUCCUAAAUCACUGACUCAGCAUGAAGUUGCUGUUUGAUUCUCAAAUACAGACUUUUUUUUUUUUAACAUGGAAAAUUCUAGCUUGAAAUUUUCUGGAGCUUUGUCAUAGCUUUUUCCAAUUUCCCAUUAAUUCUUUCUCAUGGGAUUCAUUCCCAAAUGCCUUCUGGAUUCCCUGCACGUCCUGACAGCUGUUCCUUUUCAUCUCUGUGUUACGCACGACUGACAGUUUUAUUUUUAUAGUCUUCUUACAGACUUCUGUGACUUUAUGUUAUAUUUUACCAACAGCUUCACAAUUACAUCAGGUUACUUGACGAUGCAGUAUAUGCCAGCUUCCGCCUUCUCGCUGGAUUGUAGAUUGCUGUUUUUGUUGUGUGUGUGUGUUUUUUUUUUUUUUCAUUUGGGACACUUAAGCAGGUGAAGGAACAUUUUACUCAGUGGCUUGUCCUGUUUAUCACUUAUUUACUUCAUAUGUGUCAUUCGCCUGUGCCAAAAACUGGGAGUCAUGCCAUGGUGCCAUGCUUUGGCUUGGAAAGGUGUGGAGACAAGUGCAGGCCUGAGCAGAAACCUGGGGCUGGGAAUGAAUUUCCAGACCUACAGGAUGGAGAGUGUUGAUGCUGUGGUCUGCGGAGCGGGUGGGGAUGUGAGGGGGUGGGAGCGGGGUGCGGGUCUCUAUGGAUUUGAGCGGCUAAGUGUUCUUGGACACACAGCGCUGGGAAGGGACAGACACAUGAUCUGUCUCCGGCAGACACGCCCAGAUGCUGGCUUCAGUGGAAAGCGCUUUGUUAGUUUUCGUCUGGGUCUACUGUUCCCAGUGCGGGCGCUGUCCCAUCAUUCUCUUACAUUAUCAGAACUACUUACUGAAGGCGCGGUCUCCAUCUCUGAGCGGGAUGCUUAUGGGUGAUGGUGCGUCGUGUGCUCCGGGGAACUUGUCGCGAUCAGAGUCAUGUCUUCACCUGUGAACAGCAGAUGGGAGAGGUCAGUUGUCAUCGUGGUGCGAGUGUCCCCAGCAAGUGCUCCAUCUGAAGCUGACAGUCCUUCAAGCUGCCUCGCUGUUGCUGAAACAGAAUGGGACACGUGGCUUGCUUGCCAGAAAGAAGCCAUGUCUUGGGUACUGCUGUCUGUAGUUAGCCCUUGUGAAAGAUAGAAAGGCAGAGUGGCUUGUAGGAGAGUGACGGUCUGCUCACGUGAUUUGACGUGAUUCUGUGGUGCUGGGGACAGAACCGGGACCCUCAUGCAUGCUAAAUAAGUGACCACUACUGGACUACAUCCCUAGCAACAACCUCCUCCAUAACUAAAUGACAGCUUUCACCAGGAAAUUCCUGGGGAUCACAGACAGUGUCUUGAAUAUUAAGUGUAAUGAGCAUGGGGAAGUUUCAUGAAGUUAACUUGUCUUUGAAGUACUUACCUGGGAAUCGAGCACAUUUCUAAGUCCUCCUGAGGUUCUGGCUGAGUACAUCUCUCUUUAUAUACUGCCAUGUUGACCCAGGGCAUGUGACUCUUUCCGUGAGAGGCACAUGUAUCCCUUAGGAUGACUUUUGUUCUAAACCUAAUAAAGGAAACCCCUCACUGCUGCACCCACAGGUGUCACCUUUUAAAGACAGUGCCUUGUUCGGUUCAGUUUUUGUUUUGUUUUGUUUUUUCAAGACAGGGUUUCUCUGUGUAGUUUUGGUGCCUCUCCUGGAUCUCGCUCUGUAGACCAGGCUGGCCUCGAACUCACAGAGAUCCGCCUGGCUCUGCCUCCCGAAUGCUGGGAUUAAAGGCGUGUGCCACCACCGCCCGGCCUCAGUUCAGUUUUAAAUGCAUGGAAUCAUAGGCCUUACAGACCAUUGCCGGUGUGUUAGGGGCCCGAUGCUUAGACCACUCCCAACAGUCUUCCCCUGCAGACGUCUGUCCAUGCAGCAAGGGGAAGGACAUCUUUCCCAGCGCUCUUUGAAUUUCUGUUUGCUUUCAUGUAAGAUUGCUCCUAGCUUGGCUGGGUGGUUUCUCAGGAGGUGUCUAGGGUGUAAGUGGAGGGAGGCCUCCCUGCUUGUCGGCAUCAUUUCCCCUUAAGCCCUAUCUUUUAGCAUUAGCAGGAACCUCAAAGGGGUCAGGCUGAAGGGUCUCAGCUUUGCUGUGCUCCCGUCUUAGUAAGGCCCACUGAUUCUCAUCCCUCCAGGAGUUGUGAGCUGUGCUCAUAUAGCCUGGAAUCUCGUUGAUAAGUUGAGAGGGAGAUGGGGUGCCUGGCAGCUGGCUCACAGGUCCUGCCGAUGGAAUCAUUCUGUGCACUGCUGUUAAAUCACUUGGCACUUUCUCGGGAUCUAUAUUAGCACUGUUUGCUUGUUUGUUGUCUUUUGUUGUUUUUUUUUUUUUGAGACAGUGUCUCACUGUGUAGCUCUGAGAAACUCGAUGUGUGGACCAGGCUGGCCUUGAAUUCACAUAGCUCCUCCUGCCUCUGCCCCUAAGUACUGGGAUUAAAGGCAUGCGCCACCAUGCCCAGCUAUUUUUGUUUUUAAUAACUGGAAGCAGUUCAUGGUUAUUUUGCUUGAUUUUUUUAGCUUCAGGAUAUUGAGGGUCAAGGAAAUAUGGUUUAUUUCUUAUUUCUAGCUUUGGGAACUUAGGAACGUCUGGAGAAGGAAGGAAUGGAUUUCCUGAUGAGCCUUCCUUCCAGGCUCGGUAAGGCAGCCUCUUUCAGCUAGAAUGUAAGUGACUCACAAGCUUUUAAUAUUGUGCUCUUUCGACAUGUAUGAUUUUAAAGAUGACUUGCAUUGGUAGAUUGCACUGUAAAUUUGAAAAGUGUACAAUUGCAAGGGGUUUUAGGUGUUGCUCUCCUUCCUUGUUUAUUUCUGUUAUGUCGGGGACACAGUCCCUUCUGAGACAUUUCAUUGUUUGCUUGAGGACAGCAUUACCAGUGGCCGCUGUUGGCCAGCAUCUGAUGCUGCCAUUGCUGGCACGUGUGUUAGGACAGCAUGCAUGCUUCAGUCUUCCCUGGUGAGCCAGCGUCCCUGGGACCUGCCACAAUGCUACUCAGGCUGAAAACUCACAGAGGAGCUUUGCGUUCCUAGAGGCCUGCUUAGAGGUGUGGCCCUGAGGCUCUUCCCUCUGCUUCUAGCAGUUUCCUUUAAAUAUAAAACUCUGUCUGGGACUGGUAGCACAUCCCUGUAGAGCACCCAUGGCAGGUGGCUCAAAACGGCUUGUAGCUCCAGCACUAGAGGAUCUGACGCCCUCUUCUGGCCUCUGUGGGCAUCUGCACAAAGAUUGAACAAAAACAUACCACCUUUUUUUUUUUUCUUAAAGAAGCUUUAGUUCAUUUUGAUACUGAUUAAUUUGCUUCUAAACAUAAAAUUUUGGGUUAAAGCAAGUUUCUGAGAAUUAUGUCCUUUAUUCACCAAAUGAUUAAAUUGACUUUUUUUUUUUUUUAAAGUAAGUAGGUUUUGUUUUUAUGAGCUGGGUCUUGUCUUGCUUAGACUGAUGUUAGCAAGUCUCUUCGAGUAUCCACCUCCUGAGUAGCUGGGCCUAAAGGUACAUGCUACCACAUCUGGCUUAAAUCUGCAUUAGAGAACGACCUUAUAAUUUCCCAUGAGUCCUACUAGGAACUUUUUAAAAAGACCCUCCUAGCUGGAGCUUCGCAUCAGUUGGUAGAGUGACCACCAGCAUGCCAGCCCACGGUUUGAUCCCCAUCACGUCACAAACUGGGAGCGGAGGUGCAAGCCUGUCAUCCUAGCACUAGGAAUGUAGAGGCAGGAUGACCAAGAAGUUCAAGGUCAAGUGGCAAGUUCAGGACCAACCUAAGGUGCAAGACCCUUGUGAUUAAUGGGAACCAGCCAUGGGUUACUUUACAUUGUGUGUGCUAGGUGUCGUUGAGUCCCAGUGAACCUGGCAGUUGGCGCCACUGUAAGGUGUGAACAUGAUGUAAAAGGUAAAUGACAUUAAAUAACAAACUCUUACUUUUCAUUCAGUUCGUCUACAGUUUAGUGAAAAGCAUGUGUUCUGCCAUGGAGUGAGUGCAGUGUAUAUACCCCGGUGUGUACACAGCACAGGAUGGGGCAGGGGGAGUUCCUGUGUAUGUGAGUUGGGAUGGAUGGUGGAAAGGACUUGACAGGGUACUCCGCUCCUCAGAGGAACUGUUGCCUGUGCAUCCACACCCCCCCCCCUUGCUUAUUUUAUUGAAAUCUGUAUCUCCUAUUACUCAGUGUCACCACUUUGUCUAAGUAGAUCUGUAGAUGGGUGUAAGCGACACCUGCCCAGAAGAGCUGACAGGGCGAUACUAAUUACAUGUCUUAAUUUAGUUUAGUUUAUAUUAAGGAGACCUGCAAAGUAUUACAAUCACCUUUUGUUCUUUUCUGAAAAAGCAAUUGAAAAGGUAACUGCUAACAGUCCUUAAAAUUAACAUUAGUUGUUGCUGCAGCUGGAUGGAAUGGGACAGACUGUGUCAUUUCAUCUAGCUACACAGUAGCACUUAACUGUAGAGGCAGUGGGGUGUUGUUUUAAGGCUGGUGAAGCCGGUGUGGAGUCAGGAGUGUAGGGAGAUGGGGCAAAGGACGGACGAAUGUGCACUUUGAGGGCUUUCUAAUGCACUGCUGUUCCGAGACGAGGCAGCGGUCCACUGGGUGCAUCUCCAGGCAUUGCAGGACCACCCUGAGGAGCCAGUCAGGCAGGGGUCCCGCCUUCUGUUGCUUCUAAGCUUUCUGCAAAAGCUUUGUUAACUUCCAUAGAGAUCAUGUGUAUUUUAAGAAAAUGAUACAUUUUUUAAAAAACUUUUAUGUAAGAACUGACAGAGGGAUUUGCUUGUAUGUGGGAAGCUGGCUUUAAGAAAGCACUCUGGCAUGUUUACUACAAGUCCAGAGCUAUGGAGAUCUGUUUAUAGAUAUAUGUGCAACUAGAUAUGGACAAUUGUAUUUUUUUAAAAUAAAUAUUUUUAACAAAU